GGGUGCUUGAUGCUGCACGUGCGAGACGUGGUACUGAGACAGAGCUUGCUGCGGAAGUAAAAUUUCAAAAUAAUCCUCCAACGUGUUUGUGGCCUGAAGGAGCAGAGCAGCGGUGGGAACAAUUUAAUUCCUAAUAAAGUCCAUACCUCUAAGUCGCUGCGUGUGUGCCAUUGAAACGCAGAGAAGUUGCUAGAACUCCUCCACUCCUGCAGAGCUGUUGCCUCUCUGGGCCUGUGUGACAAUGUUUGCUCUCCCUGCUGUCACUUUGCACUUCCCCGAGUCUCUCUGGAUGGCACUUCAUGAUUUCUCCCUGAAGCAAUGAUGGAAGUAUGUCAGCUGUCAAAGGUUCUGGCAGCAGAAGGCAGCUGAGAAUAAAGCGGCUUCACGGUAAUGUCGGUGACCCCCUAACCAUACCCCGCUUUCCACCGAUGAUUUGUCUGGACAGUGUUUAAAGCAGAUGAAAUAUACAUUUUUUGAAUCAGGCAACAGGAGAUGACCAGUGCUGGGUUUCAUGGGAACCAGAGGAUUUACAACUUUGCUUGGGCUCCACGUACCAGCAGGAGCCUGAUGAGGAGGGCGGCUGUGUUCUGAAUUGUUUUAGGAAGUCUCCUUCAGCCCAAGACCGUCUGGACAAAAUUGCCAUGGGAUCCUGUUGCUGCAGCAGGAUGUUACCAAGUGAGACGUUGACUCAAAGAAGGGGAGCUGAGAUCAGGAAGGCCAAGAUGGCAUCCAAAAAUUCAAACACACCAAGGAGGCCAGGUGCGAUGGCUCACGCCUGUAAUCCUAGCACUUUGGAAGACCCAGGUGGGUGGAUCACCUGAGGUUAGGAGUUUGAGACCAGCCUGGCCAACAUGGUGAAACCCCAUCUCUACUUAAAAAAAAAAAAAAUCAGCUGGGCGUGCUAGAAGGCACCUGUAAUCCCAGCUACUUGGAAGUCUGAGGCAGGAGAAUUGUUUGAACCCGGGAGGUUGAGGUUGCAGUGAGCCACGCCACUGCACUCUAGCCUGGGCAACAAGAGUGAAAUUCAGUCUCAAAAAAAAAAAAAAAAAAAAAAAAACCAAAAAACAAAACCUCCAAAGGACAUAUGUGUGCUCUUGCUCUCAGGAAGCUUGUGAUUCCUGGGGAGAAACUGAUCACACACACACCGAGUAUUGUAAAGUGAUUCAAAGUUGCACAAGGGAGAGGCAAGUUCUGAGUCUCCUCCUGCCUCCCAGUUCCCUUCCUUGAAUGCAGGGUCACUGACUGAUUGGUCACAUCCCAAGACCAUGAUUGGCUAUUUUACAAGUAGACAAGGUCACCAUGCUUUAACAGGCAAGGCCCCAUGAGCCACCUCUCUUUGUUGGAAGUUGCCUGCGUCUGGCCCUCCUCUCACUUCUUGAGUGUAGGUUUGAGGUCUGGGAAUGCUGCUGGUAGCUGUGGUCCAUCCCUUUCAAGAUUGGGAUUUGGAAGAUAAAGGAAAGAUCCUGUUUGGAGCCUGAGCCUAAGCAUAGAGUUCCAGCCUGAGGUUGCAGAGAGGCCCAGCCUUGGGUGUGGGUUCCAAGCCCAGAUGGCAAUAAAGGAGCACCCUGUCUUCCUACGGGCUGGAGUUCCUUUUGAGAGUGCUUCCUGGGAAAUGUUGUCAUAACAUUGACAGGGCAGAAUUUCAGCAUUUCUCACCCUUGGCCCUAAUAUCCAUCUCCCAAAUCACCCCCAGUGCCAGGAAUCAUUAAGAAAGCAGUGGUAGUGUUGAGACAACCAAAAGGCUGUUAGUUUGAGAACCGUCACAUAUAGCAGAUGGAAUUCUUGAAAAAGUGUCUUCAGCAUUAGGUAGAGGCAUAUUGUUAUACAUAAAGAAAGGCCGGAGAAAAACACCAAGAACUUUCUGGGGUAACUUCUCUACAGGAGGUUGCUGUGUCCCCCUAGACAGCUCUAUCAACAGGUGAGGACUGGGAAUCUAGUGGUGAAUUGAUGUGACUGGGUUGGGGCAGAAAUGCCAUGGGGCCUGAUGCAGCACAGCUGUACGUCAUGGAAAAUGAUCCCUGAGACAGUCAGCAACUGGAUGUAGAAUGAAUCUGUUUAAGUAAUGAGUGUUCGCUUUAGGAGAGCAGGAUGCAGGACAAUAGCCAGGAGAGAGCAAAACCUGUUUGAAAGAGUUGAGGGAUUUGUGAUGUCCUGCCUGACACACCAGCACCCCUGAUGAUGCUGUCAAUGGCUUUCUCUCAAUUAGUCCCCCUGGACAGGUGGAAGCCGAGGUAAGUUGGGUAAUUGAUGUCUUCAUGCUUCCACAAAGGGCCUACUUUGGGAAGAUGGAAUAUGUUAAUGCAGGUCCCUGCAUGAAGCAGGGAAUUCUGAACACAUUUGCAGGCCGGUGAAGGAAAGGUCCUUCCCCAUGUCAUGGUUCCACAUGCUCUCCACCAUAAACUUGGAAGAAUUCAAGCUGACACAUCAUGUGAAAUUCAGGGUGAAAAAAGUCUGUUGAAAUGGAUAAUGGAAUGUGGAAGACCUGUGGAACAUGUAGUUGGACCUUUAACUCUGUCUGUAUCCACACAAAAGCCUGUAAUAGAAUGUUCAAGCAUAACAUCCUUGAAUUUUUCAAAAAUAACUUUACAGCUGAUCCAUUUAUUUUGUCGGUGGGGUGAGGGGACAGAGAGAAGAAUGGGAAAGAGAGUGAGAGCAGGGAAAGAGAAGAGUGAUGAUUGAAGGGGAAGAGAAGGAAUUUUCUAACAACUCCUUGCCACAAAAUGAUGAGUGAUGGUGAGUGAUUUAAUUAGGUCAUUAAGUGGAUGAAAUAACAUGGCCAAGGUAAACUUACGUAAACUGUUUCUUAUUUAAAUUAUAUUGGAUACUUGGAUCAUCUGUUUAAUAAAAAAUCUCAUCCACUCUUCAAUAUUGGCUUAAAUCCUCUCCCCUGAACAAAACCUUUUCUAAGCACUGCAACUGGGACAUUUUUUAGUUCUUUUUACAUUUUUUUUCCAUAUUAUUUAGUUGAAACUAAUUGCAUGGAGCUCUAUUCCACGUAGUUACUUCCAUGGGUCCAUGAGUCUUAUUUCUCCCCAAAGACAUUUUUCUUAGGGAGGAAGAAACCAAGCUACAAACGUUUUUCUCAUGUGCUUCCUACACUGUGUUCUGUGCAGUAGAUGCUGCUGAACAUUUGCCAGGAGCCUGAUAUUUGGAAAGUUUGGCUCAUUUUCAAGGCUAUGCAAUUUAAUGAUACUGACAAACCCCAAAAUUUCUAGAUCCCAAUUAAGUACUUCAUUGUCCUGACUUCAUUCAUCAUAAUGGAAAAUUAACUUACUGUCUAAUAUCUCAUUUUCUUCUCUUUAAUAUAGAUAAUAAUAAACUAACCCAUGCAAAUGUAUUGAAGAAUAAUGAAUAAAUAAAAUUUACAAGCAAAUGUAAGUAUAAAGAUGUAUCUAAAUGCACAUAAUAUUAAUGGAGAUUGAUAAAAUAAACCAGCUAGUAAUGAUGUGGAAGUGAUAACAUGUACACAUCGUUUUGCAAAUCAGAUUUUUAGUGACUAAAUAGAAAAUGACUUGGAGAAAAUACAUGAGACUUUGUGAGUAAUUCUGAGGUGGGAGAGAAAUUUUUUAAAAUUCUGAGGAUGUAUGAUGGGAUUCUUUAAGACUUUCUCUCUUAGUCUCCUGAACUCUGUUUAUAGUGUACACAUUAACUUUGUUUAUAAAUUUAAUGAAUCCGUUUUUGAUUAAAUAAACAUGCGUAUGGUAAAGAAAUUCCGUGAGACUAAAUAAUUCUUCCACCCCUGUCUCCCAGUUUUCUGGUUCUCUUCCUCAGAGAAAACUACUAUGUUUCUUGAAUUUUCUUCAGAGGAUAAUUCUCUGUAGAUACAAACAUAUUUCUAAAUGUGCCUUUCACUUUUAUAGCAUGAAGUUUGGUGUCCUAAGUAAGAAUUCUACAGUUUGCUUGUUUUCACUUACCAAUAUGUCUGGAGAUUGUUCCAUACAUACAUGUCGAUCCACCUCUUUCUUUUUAACACCAGGGUCUCUGUUAUAGACAUAACACACUUGUCCAGGCAGAUAACUUCUCAGCUUAGCGUUUUCAAGGUUGUUACAUAAUAAUGAUCUUUAUAAUGGAUUUGUCCUCUUCAGAGCAGGUCUGGGCUUUUGAUGUGCCAUGUGGAUUAUUGGUGGAAAUUUAUGAGUACAUUCUUUGGAGUUGCAUUCACAUUCAAGUCUGUAUUAUAACAUUCACAAUUAUAUAACUUGGACCCUUCACCUUCUUAUUUUAAUUUAGAUUCGUUGUAAUUCUGGACUUUCAUACCACCAUUAGCCUUGAACUUAUUUUGAAGCUCUCCUAUAGGAGAGCUAGACAAGGAUGUUUCUUGUCUAAUAUCCUGGACAAUAUUCUCCAGUAGCAAUGUACAAAAGAGUUAAUGGAAGCUUAAUUUCUGGGUACUCAAACACCUGAAUAUAUCUUUAUUCUGUUCUCAUAAUUGACUUAACAAUAUGACUAGUUAUAGGUAUCUAAGUUAAAAAGAUUUUCUCCAUAAUAUAUUGGGCCUCAA
rnacentral:lncRNA from 1 species